rnacentral:lncRNA from 10 species
ACAUCAAAGAGGGCUAUUUACAAAGGAUUAAUUACAAAAGUGUGUGUGCAAUGUCAGGGACCGACACACAGUUGUGCAGAAACCCGUGUUAGCAUCAGCAGAGCUAUUUCCACUUGUGGGCCCAAAAGGCCAGGAGAAGUCACUAGGACCUGGAAGCAGAGUCCUGUAGAGCAGGUCCCCAACCCCCCGGGCCACAGACUGGAUACCUUAGCCUGUGGGGAACCGUUAGGAACCGGGCUGCACAGCAGGAGGUGAGCAGCAGGCAAGCAAGCAUUACUGCCUGAGCUCCACCUCCUGUCAGAUCAGCAGUGGCGUUAGAUUCUCAUAGGAGCAUGAACCCUAUUGUGAACUGCAUAUGUGAAGGAUCUAGGUUGCGCACUCCUUAUGAUAAUCUAAUGUCUGAUGAUCUGAGAUGGAAGAGUUUCAUCCCCAAACCAUUCCCUGGCCCCAGUCCAUGGAAAUAUUGUCUUCCACGAAACUGGUUCCUGGUGCCAAAAAGGUUGGAGACUGCUGCUGUAGAGCAGGCUACCUCAAGAAGAGCUGUGACUUCCUUCAAAGCACACAGUGGGCCUUAAGCCCUCCCAGAAAGAAGCUAGGGAAUGAAUGAAUACCCUGAUCUCAUUUGCUUCACUGGGCUCUCUGUUUGCCGACUCCAAGUGGAAGCCUGCAAAUAUGGGAGCUGUUGAUUAUAAUCUAUCAAUGUAAGUCAGCUUUCUGGCUGGGAGCUUGGUGGAGAAGGAAAGAGAGUGAAUCUGAAGGGGCAAACAUAUUACCUAAAAUAACAUUCUCCUUCCAACUAUAUUUCUGAGAAAUUUCCACUGGUAACCUGUUAUUGAUGUGUCUAGGCAGAAAGCAUAAAGUUAAAAAAAAGUACGUAUUUAGAAUCCUGACUUCUUUUUCUGAUCUAGUAGUGUGUUUCUUCACCACUUUGGCUUUGAGCACUCAAAGUGCAGACAGUCAUCAGCAGUGGGAUGGAUAAAUUCUGGUACAUUCAUUGAAAUGAAUGCUACGCAUAAAUGAAAAAGAGCAACUUGCAACAACACGUAGUAUAUUCAUCAAAAUAAUGUUGAGCAAAAUAAGCCAGACACAAGUAAUACAUUCUGUAUGAUUCCAUUACAUAAGUUUAGGAAAAACCAACCAAUAGUAAAUAGAUAAUCUGAACAGUGGCUACUUUUUGGGAGAAAGGUCUAGACUGAAGUGAGAGAAAGAAGAAUCUUUCUGGAGUCUGAAAGUAUCUUGACCUGGGUGGUGACUACAUGAGUGUAUAUAUACGUAAAAUUUCAUGUAAAAUUUAACUUAAGAUUUAUGCAUUUGACUUAUGUAAAUUAUACUUCAAUAAAAUGUUUCUACAAUAACCUA